AUCCCAUUUUAACAAUGAGGACACUGAGACUCAGAAAUAUUUUUUAAUUUGCUAAAAAGAUGUUAGUAAGUGGUAGACCCAGGAUUUGAGCCUCUUCCUGAAAAAUGUCACAAAUUGCACCAUGAGCUACUGUGAUAAAAAGCCCAUAUUGAAUCUUAUUACUUUAAUGACAAAUAAAAUCAACUAUGCAUAUUGAUAUUGAAGAGGAAGACUCUUUUUAUUAAACAACGAUAUUUCUUUUUUUUUAUGUGAGAAAGAAUAGAGUGGGAGAAGAGUGGCAAGGAGCAGUAUGUUCUCAUCUUAACAGUGAGAUUGCAGCAGUUAUGGUUUUCAAAUAGUCAGGACUGUUCCAAAGCAGGUGGUCUACAAGUGAAUUCAUCAAGAUGAAGAAACUGAGGAACAGAAAGAGAUAUGCCAGAAUUUACAAAAGAUGCCAUGGGGAUCCAGAGAUGAGAUGAGGAAUGAUCAACAUAGCCCUUUCACACUCAAAGAGCUGCGACAGACCUGUUCCUAGCUAUGAGGUAUUCAAAGGAAGCUUUUUCUCUAAGGUGGCUUUCAAAUUUUAAAUCAUAAGGAAAACCAGACCUGGUGUGGUUUCACCUAACUCUACAUAUCACCCCACCAGAGCCCAAAUAAAUGUACAUCUUCAGUGUGUUAACUUUUGGAAGCCAAGAUGUGCCAGGCACUGAACAUUCUUGCCUGAUACCACUUACAUUUCUUGGUCAUGAGGACAUCAGUAGUUAUUCAUCACUGCCCUCUGAACCUGGAAAAGUUUCCACAGUCUCUCUGUACAUAUAUAACAUGCACUCACUAUCCACCCACUAGUGGGCUGCAAGAAGAAACUGUUAGUCAUUCACACAUUAGCCCAUUCUGCUCUCUACUGUCCCUGUAAGGCAUCACUCAUGAGAAGUGAAGAGAGGAGAUGUGCAUAUUUUGACCCAAUAUUUAAUCUUUUUUAUAAUGAUAUUAACCUUAGUAUGGGGUACUUUAGGUCAAAAGUAUUUAUAAUAGUUGUCUUUAUAGAUAACAGAAGUUGAAUUUUGCCUUCCAACCAGGUACAUGCUGAAAGAAAUUUUAACAGUUUUCUAUGAAAUUAGAAAACAGUCCAGUGACACUGAUUAUUUAGGAGGAUUUCAAGGAUUCUUAAAUCUUCUAACCUCUUUAAUGCCUGGGCUGUUUCUCCAGAGUCUGUGCUGUCAUGGUUUCCUGUUCCAUUAAAAAUACAAGGAAAAUAUCAUGAAUGACUUACUGCAUCUGGCAAUUUCCAGGUGUUUUCUUCUUGAUCUAUGUGUCCUGUUUUAAUAAUGCUCUAGAGAGAUUUUUCAAAAAAUAAUGUCAGAGUACUCCUGCAGAAAACUGAUUGUUCCCCAUAGAAAAACUGGAAGGUAAAGAGAAAAAUAGUGUUGCUUCUGUGUACAAUAUGACAAAGCCUAGGCAUUCAAAGUCCCCUUUUCUCUUUUGCCAGUUACUUCUUGUCUGUUGCCUUUAAGGGGCAAGAUAGAACUUAUGAAAGCCAUCUUAUGUAUAUGCUUCCUUUUUUUCUCAUAGAUAUUUUUAUUUUUCCCCCUUGGUAUGAUGCACAAUUCAUGCCCCACAACCCUCUACAUGCACUAAUAUAGGAGAAAAUAAUCUUAUAUCCAAUUCAUGAAGGAACCAAUUAUUCUACAAUUGCUAUUAUUUUAUGCUCUGUGCAACUGAUAUGCAGACUAGGACAACAAUUACUCUAAAAAAAUAUGCUCUCAGGCCAGGCAUGGUGGCUCACACCUGUAAUCCCAGAACUUUGGGAGACUGGGGCAGGCAGAUCGCAAGGUCAGGAGUUCAAGAGCAGCCUGGCCAACAUGGUGAAACCCUGUCACUACUAAAAAUACAAAAAAUUAGCUGGGUAUGGUGGCAGGCACCUGUAAUCCCAGCUGCUUGGGAGGCUGAGGCAGGAGAAUCACUUGAACCCAGGAGGUGCAGGUUGCAGUGGGCCGAGAUCACACCACUGCACUCCAGCCCCAGGCAACAGAGUGAGGCUCCAUCUCAAAAAGUAAAAUAAAAUAAAAUAAAAUAGUCUCUCUAAAAUUAUUGCCAAAGAAGAAACAUAUUUGUUACUUCUUAGGUAAGAAUAUAAAUAUAUAUAUUUUCUCACCUGAAAUUCCUUGCAAAAAUAAAUACUCAUUUUCAAGUGCUACAAAAGGGCAUCUUCUCCUAUUGAUGCAGCUUUGGAAAAAAUGCUAAGCUAGCCCACAUUUUUUUUUUUUAAUUUCAGCUUUCAUGUUCUAAUUUGGGAUCAGCCACAAGAUACACAGCAGCACUCUUAGCUUCAAUAAUCAGAAUAGAACAGUUAUUCUUGAUGUGUAAUAUUCUGCCUAAUGAAACGCAUGCUUUUCUCGUGAAAACAGAGUGUAAGUUGGCAGUGAAUGUUCUUCCUAGCUAUCUCAGCCACAACAAUUUAGAGGUUACCCAGGGACACUUGCUCUGGAAUUGGGGAUAUAUACGGAAUGUGUACAAGAGUAAAAUGUCCUAAAGGAAAGAGGAAUUAACAUGCAAACGGGCUGAAGCUGUUGACUCCACUCGAUCAACUCUCUCUGUGUUUUUGGUGUGAUGUAGAACACUAAAAAUAACCCAGGCUAUUUGUUUUCAUUAUGCACACUUUGAGGCAAAUGGAAAUAAGGUAAAAUAAAUAAGGUUAUUUAUGUAGAAUAUUCAUACCUUGAUAUUAGUAUUUAAUAUUAGAUGUAGCUAGCAGAUAUAGAUAAUUUAUAACUGAAGCUGAUUACUUUGACAUUUGCAUUAGGGUAGGGUAACUGCUGUAUAUUCUAGGUCUCCAUGAUUCAGGACAACCAAGGUCUAUUCUCACAUGGGUACUGUUGACACAGCUCAGCAGGAAAGCUCUCCUUCAGGUAUCCAGGUUUCUUUAUGCUGUGGCUAUGCCAUUUCUUCAGUCUUAAGGAGAGCAGAAGACAGGAAGACCACAAAGAACUCACAAGAAGGUUUAGAGGCUAGAUCUGGCAACUAGCAAUUCUGCCCACAUAGUAUUUGCCAGAACUCAAUUCCAUAGCUCCACCUAACUCCAGGAAGACUGAGAAAUGUCGUAAAACUCUAUGCACAGAAAAAGGAAGAACCAGUACUUAUCUGCCAUUUUCUGCCAUUGCUAUUUAUCCAGU